UACGGAGGGUGCGAGCGUUGUCCGGAUUUAUUGGGUUUAAAGGGUGCGUAGGUGGCCUAUUAAGUCAGUGGUGAAAUACAGCCGCUUAACGGUUGAGGUGCCAUUGAUACUGAUGGGCUUGAAAUAAUUGGAGGCUGCCGGAACGGAUGGUGUAGCGGUGAAAUGCAUAGAUAUCAUCCAGAACACCGAUUGCGAAGGCAGGUGGCUACGAUUGGUUUGACACUGAGGCACGAAAGCAUGGGGAGCAAACAGG
rnacentral:rRNA from 1 species